rnacentral:rRNA from 1 species
GAUGAACGCUGGCGGUAUGCUUAACACAUGCAAGUCGAACGGACUCUUCGGAUUUAGUGGCGGACGGGUGAGUAACGCGUGAGAAUCUGGCUUUGGGUUCGGGACAACCACUGGAAACGGUGGCUAAUAACGGAUGUGCCGAGAGGGAAAAGAGAAAUUGCCUGAAGAUGAGGUCGCGUCUGAUUAGCUAGUUGGUGAGGUAAAGGCUCACCAAGGCAGCGAUCAGUAGCUGGUCUGAGGGGAGGACCAGCCACACUGGGAAUGGGAAACCGCCCAGACUCCUACGGGAGGCAGCAGUGGGGAAUUUUCCGCAAAGGGCGGAAGGCUGACGGAGCAAUACCGCGUGAGAGAAGAAGGCUCUUGGGGUGUAAACCUCUUUUCUUAGGGAAGAACAAAAUGACGGUACCUGAGGAAUCAGCAUCGGCUAACUCCGUG